rnacentral:rRNA from 1 species
AUUGAACGCUGGCGGCAUGCUUUACACAUGCAAGUCGGACGGCAGCACAGAGAUGCUUGCUUCUUGGGUGGCGAGUGGCGGGCGGGUGAGUAAUAUAUCGGAACGUACCGAGUAAUGGGGGAUAACUAAUCGAAAGAUUAGCUACUACCGCAUAUUCUCUGCGGAGGAGAGCAGGGGACCUUCGGGCCUUGCGUUAUUCGAGCGGCCGAUGUCUGAUUAGCUAGUUGGUGGGGUAAAGUCCUCCCAAGGCGACGAUCAGUAGCGGGUCUGAGAGGAUGAUCCGCCACACGAGGACUGAGACACGGCCCAGACGCCUGCGGGAGGCAGCAGUGGGGAAUGUUAGACAACGGGCGCAAGCCUGAUCCAGCCAGGCCGCGUGUCUGAAGAAGGCCUUCGGGUUGUAAAGGACUUUUGUCAGGGAAGAAAAGGCUGUUGCUAAUAUCAAGAGCUGAUGACGGUACCUGAAGAAUAAGCACCGGCUAACUACGUG